UAUCUACUCCCUCCGUCCGGAAAUACUUGUCCUAAAAAAUGAAUAAAAUAGAUGUAUGUAUAACUAAAAUAAGUCUAGAUACGUGCAUUUCUAGGACAAGUAUUUCCGGACGGAGGGAGUAUAAU
rfam:Hordeum vulgare subsp. vulgare, WGS project CAJW01000000 data, contig: morex_contig_1861861